rnacentral:pre_miRNA from 1 species
UAUUAAAAAUUUAUCCAUUUGUAUUGUUAAAAUUGGCGUGGCAACGUAAUAAUUAGAAAGUGACAUGACUUAUUACAUGUACCUCAUGUUGAUAUACAAUGACCAAUUUUUAAUAAUAAAAAUAAAUAAAAAUUUUAACA